GCUUGCCUGUAAAACCUGAAGGCAAAGUCUGUGUUGCUGGGUAUUAUAUGCUGGCAGAAAGCAAGAGAAUCUUCCUCAUGAGGAUGCUGCUCAUGGAGAGAAAUUAAACAGAUCUUCAUGAAGGUCCUGCGAAACAGUAAGCAAAUUUCAUAGAAACAUGGAUCAAGAGUCUGAGAUGGGAGGGGAACCUCCAAAUAUGGAAAUUCCACAGUCUUUCUGGGAAGCUGUAAGAAUCCCUCUUUGUUUUUUGGCUCAAAGCUUGCUUCCUGAGGUAUUUCUUGUGAUAAGACUCUGAGUGAUUUGUUGAGAAGGCAACUAAUGGGUGCUAACCAUGUGACAAUGGAUAUCGCUUUGGGAACAUUUGAAAGCCCCUUCCUCCAGAGCUGCUUGCUCUGUAGAAGAGUGGAUGAGAGUGCUCAGGAGUGUUUACUGGCGGAAGAUCUGGCCUGUGACAAAACAGCUCCAGCUGGGUGUGGGAAAAUUGGGGAAUGAUACCAUCGUGUUCUGUGAGAAACAGGAUGCAGAUGGGCAUCCCUGCUCCCGCUUAUCUGCUGGCAAGGUCCAGAAGAUGGGAACAAAGGAGUUUCUGCUGAGAUCCCAGAGCCAUAAGCUGCCACUCAAAGGAGAGCUGACUCAAGCACUUUGGAUUUGAGCUGUCACUCCAAAGACAGCUGACUCAACCACUUUGAAAGCAUUGAAAAGGGGCCAUCAUCGCCAUGGUCGUCAUCGUCCUUCGUCGUCAAUAGAACAACAAUGCCUGACAACCCACCACUACUGAAGAUCAAAGACUGAACUAGGAACCUCGCUGGAUCCAUGGUGGUGACUAUGUCCCUCUUGCUUCCUAUAAAGACUCCUUGCUUCUUCUUUUCUAUCUUCUCUAUAAAGACUCCUUCCCUUCCCCAUUACCCUAAUUCAUAAUAAAAUUGGAGCGAGACAGAAGCCUCUCCCAGUAUUGCACUACUUCAUGGUAAUAAACAAAAGUACUUAUUUAGAAUUUUCCAUAUCCCAACUGUUCAUCCUCUAUUCAGUUUCUGCCAGCUUCAGCAUCAUUCACUUCUUGACAUUGUCCUGAUAUUUCUGGGUUAUCACUUGUAGUGAGGAUGUUGUGUUUGCUCAGCUUGAACUUGUUUACUAGGAACUGAAGGAAAAUUUCCAUGGCUCUGGCUGCUCCUCUGUCUCUAUCAUGUUAAAGGAAGUGAACUAUUGCACUAAGCAGCCUCAACAUCUUACACCAUUUAAAAACUGGACAAAAAGUGAGUCAUCUGAGAUUGAAAUAGCUCUGAGAUUCAUUUGUAAUUCAUCAGACUUAAAAGAACUUAAACCCAAAAUCUUAUGUAUGCAAUACAGGAAGUGCAAAAAGAAAGUCUCAUAAAAAUAACACAGAAAUAGAAAUCUUAGAAAGUGAACAGACAGGCCUGAAUCUUUAUUCUGAAGCAGAUAUUUUCCUAGUCCAUGUUCUGUAGAGAGGUGACUCCCUUUUUCACUGCUGUCAACCUCACUCUUUUUUAAAGGGAAAAUAGGAAUCUAUUCCAUAGACAGCAUAUGUAAUAUGUUUUGUAGCACAGAUGUUAUCUUCUCACAAGCUACCUCCUUACCAAGGUGUCUUCUUCUCCACUUUUUAAUGUUGCUUGCACUCCAUCCAGCAUAAAGCAACAACAAUCUGUAAAUCAGCAGCUGAGAAAGCUCUUCCUUUUCUUCCUAUUUAAUCCAGGCAUCUAGUGGUUUACAUGCUGUUGAAGAUACUGUAAAACAAGUUUGAGAAAUAUUUCUCACAUUGCUCAUACCAAACACAUUCAGACACAUUCAGAUCCAUUUUAAUUGGAGAAAUCUCUUAAGAAAUGUCAAAGCCAGCCAUGCAGAUGGAAUGAGUGACAUGAAGUAUGUGAUGGAAAGCCAGCAGCCCUACUGAAGGAUGCAUUGCUUAUGGAGCCCUCCAUUUCUGAUGGACAGUAAACCUACUUUUUUCCCACAUUGAUCUGGUUUAUGACUGAAAUUGUUUCUGACAUUAAAAAUUUUGUGGUUCAUAACAUUCAUAGAUUUCUAGAAGCAGAAGCAUGAUGCUAUUCCUAGGAAAGUGAAAUAGGAAGAGCUAGUGAGAUGUUCAGACAGUCUCUUAGUCCAUAAUCUGGAAACAGUUCAUGGAAAUCAAACUGAACUUCAAAGUCAGACAUCCUGGCAAUCUUUGUCUGGAAGAAUGCUGCAGACAUGGCCUGGGAAAAGCUGAAGUUCAGUAUGCAAAGGAGGGAUAUUUCAAACGAGAAUAAAAGAGUGAAACACAAUAGUACUUCAAGUGAUUUUCUGUGUUCACUAAUGUUUUUAUUGUCACAAUACAAUUAUCACAAUACUGCAAUGUCUUCACGUGUAUUUUCCUAAUCAAGAAAUAUUAUGAUAUAUAAGAGAUUAAACAAAAACCAAUACAAAAACAA